GAUGGACGCUGGCGGCGUGCCUAAUACAUGCAAGUCGAGCGAAUGGAUUAAGAGCUUGCUCUUAUGAAGUUAGCGGCGGACGGGUGAGUAACACGUGGGUAACCUGCCCAUAAGACUGGGAUAACUCCGGGAAACCGGGGCUAAUACCGGAUAACAUUUUGAACCGCAUGGGUCGAAAUUGAAAGGCGGCUUCGGCUGUCACUUAUGGAUGUACCCGCGUCGCAUUAGCUAGUUGGUGAGGUAACGGCUCACCAAGGCAACGAUGCGUAGCCGACCUGAGAGGGUGAUCGGCCACACUGGGACUGAGACACGGCCCAGACUCCUACGGGAGGCAGCAGUAGGGAAUCUUCCGCAAUGGACGAAAGUCUGACGGAGCAACGCCGCGUGAGUGAUGAAGGCUUUCGGGUCGUAAAACUCUGUUGUUAGGGAAGAACAAGUGCUAGUUGAAUAAGCUGGCACCUUGACGGUACCUAACCAGAAAGCCACGGCUAACUACGUGCCAGCCGCCGCGGUAA
rnacentral:rRNA from 1 species